rnacentral:RNase_P_RNA from 1 species
AGCAGAAUAGGUAAUCGCGGCUCCGCCUCGUGCGGAGGUGAGGAAAGUCCGGGCUUCACAGGGCAGGAUGCCGGAUAACGUCCGGUGGAGGUGACUCCCAGGAAAGUGCAACAGAAAGUAUACCGCCACUCACGUGGUAAGGGUGAAAUGGCGAGGUAAGAGCUCACCGCAUGGCUGGUAACAGACAUGGCAUUGUAAACCCCAUCCGAAGCAAGAGGUUCAUGGUAGGUCGCUUGAGUUCUGUGGUAACACAGUCCCUAGAUAGAUGAUUACCCCCGACAUAACCCGGCUUAUAGUUCUGCUCUU